CAUGCUCUGCAAGCAGGGUUAUUCGAUAAUUAUUGAGAUGUCACUUUUAAGUUUAAUUUCAGUUUAAUUCUCCAAAUGAGACAGAUCCUAAAAUAUAAAUAUAAAUAUAACCAUUCCUACGAAGGCCGGAUCAGCGAUUGUUUUUUUCUAUCGGAUGCUUGAGUUGUGGAAUCUGGACCACACAAGUAAUAUACCAAGGAUACUGACUGGAAACCAUAAGCGAUUAUCACCAAUAAUGUACUCAAUCCAUCGCAUCGAUUAGCCCUGCUAAAACUUUCAUCCUUCGUCAUGCCGCGGCCGGCAUGCCGGUGCGCUCCGAACAUUCUGGUGCAUACCCGAUAUUCGUGCUAACUAACCACGACUAUAUAUAGUGGAUUCCAAAAUAUAAUUUUUGAAGUUCCGUCGGCUAUCGCGAACCCGUUGGUAGUAUUCAUCUUUUGGUAGUUUAUUUGAGGCAUCCGGAGGUGGAAUCGGCUUCAGUGAACUGCUUCUAGAAAAUGCUAGGAUAUAUAAGGCAAGACAAUCAGCAGUACCGGAUCGUCGGAAGAGUAUUUCUUCGAACCACAAGAUUCUGGUUCGAAAAAUGGCAAUUCACAGAAGGACUCAAACGACAACAUACAGUUCGGUGUCCUUCGGAGGGAAGCAUGUAAGGAACGAAUGGAACAGCAAGUAUCCGGAGGUAUAUGCAGAAUUGAUCAUAGCAGAGGUCGGCAUUUGAUUCAGUCACCGAAGACAAAUCCAAAUUAUCUUCACCGCGAUCCAGCUUCUCCGGUUCCCCUUAGACGUCGCACGUCGCUCAAAUCCCGAACCGGUUAAUCUAAAACAUAAAAAGCCAUCAAGCGUGAAAUUCAUCCGCAAUCGCAUCGGCUUUUGCAAGUGAAUAUCCGGACAUAUAGCGGACAUCAUCGAACGCAACAACGCUAGAUCAUCCAACGCCACAAAUUUCGGAAUUAAUCCUAUAAAGGAAAUCUCUAAAAUGAGCAGUCUCAAGGAGAACCAUGUUGAAGGACACCGGGUUUGAAUCAAGAUUACCUCGAUUUCCCCUUAAGGCUGAAAAAAAUGUACUAUCCACACGUAAAAAAAAGUACCGUUUUGCUUCGAAUUACCGGACGCUUCGAAAGCCGGACACUACAA